rnacentral:misc_RNA from 1 species
GUUUGUUGUUCUCUGAAAUUCUUCGGUCUGCAUUCAGAUUAGACAUAACUACUAUGUCAAAGGGUUCCUCAUUCUUCUGGGAAUCAUUAUCAUCUUUGCAAAUUAGUUUCUGAUCAUCUUGCUUCACUUCCAGGACAUCUUUAGGAGUGUCAGAGUUUGCUGAGGCACAAUUGGUCUGAUCAGAUUUUCCCUUUACCUGAGAAAUAAAAGCAUGAAGCAUAAAGAGGGCAGAAGC